rnacentral:rRNA from 1 species
AUUGAACGCUGGCGGCAUGCCUUACACAUGCAAGUCGAACGGUAACGCGGGGCAACCUGGCGACGAGUGGCGAACGGGUGAGUAAUGCAUCGGAACGUGCCCAAUAGUGGGGGAUAGCCCGGCGAAAGCCGGAUUAAUACCGCAUACGACCUGAGGGUGAAAGCGGGGGAUCGCAAGACCUCGCGCUAUUGGAGCGGCCGAUGUCAGAUUAGCUAGUUGGCGGGGUAAAGGCCACCAAGGCGACGAUCCGUAGCUGGUCUGAGAGGAUGAUCAGCCACACUGGGACUGAGACACGGCCCAGACUCCUACGGGAGGCAGCAGUGGGGAAUAUUGGACAAUGGGCGCAAGCCUGAUCCAGCAAUGCCGCGUGGGGGAUGAAGGCCCUUGGGUUGUAAACCUCUUUUGUUCGGGAAGAAGUGCGAUCAGGUGAAUAAUCUGGUCGUUUGACGGUACCGGACGAAUAAGCUCCGGCUAACUCCGUGCCAGCAGC